rnacentral:rRNA from 1 species
UAGGAGCUACAGCUACUGAAUCAUAUAAGUGACUUAUGUGAUGUCGUAAGGGAAAAUUAUGAUAUUACCUUACUAAUAGUGUCGUCUAAAACUGGUGCCAGAAGACUCGGUAAGGCCAGAGACACGAAUGUUAAUCGUCUUAAACAGGCGUAAAGGGUUUGUAGGCUGCUUUGAAAGUAUUGAUUUAAUAGCCGAAGUAAAUUAAAGAAUAUUAGAUAAUUAAUUUAAUAUUUAAUUUUUAAUUAUUAGUUUUUAAUAUUAAUUUAUUAAAAGUUUAGUGUUAUUGAGAAUCAAUAAAUUAAAUAUAAUUAUUAAAAAGUUUACUUCAUUUGUAGAUCAAUAUGAAUUAAAGCUAGAAUCUAAUAGAGGAUAUUUACGAAACAAUGCUUGGUCGAGGGCUGAUAUCCUAAGACACCAAGUGGAGUUCUAACGGCGUAAGCAUUUAUCCAUUAAAGAUUGACGCUGAGAAACGAAGGUGAGGAUAGGAAAUAGGAUUAGAUACCCAGAUACCCCUCUCUGUCAACGAUGAAUGGUAGUUUGUUAGUCAGAAAGACUAGUGACGAAGUUAACACGAUAACCAUUCCGCCUUGUGAGUACGACUGCAAAGUUGAAAACAAAAAAAUUAGUCGGUCUCGACAUUAA